UAAAAUCUCAAUAAAAUAUAUAAUGAAAGGAAACGGAAAUAUUUAAUCCAUUUCCCAAACAGAAAACUGGAAAAUUAGAAAAUGGAGAAGAAAAUUGGAAAAUGAAAAUAGAAAAUGUUUUGUACAAGUAAACAAGACCUCAAACUCACCAUCUGCCUCAUUCUUGCUGCUCUUGGAGCUUACAAGAUUCAAAAGUAAUCAAGUAUUAAGUAGAAUAAUGCUCACUGAUAUGCCUACUUUUCUCAACUAUUUUCCUUUUCAGGUCUUAAUUGAGUGUUCCCACCUCCAGUGAUGGUUCAUUUAAUGAUGGAUAGUCUCAGAAUAAAAAAUACUAAGUACAAGAAAUUAUCAAGCUCAC
rnacentral:misc_RNA from 1 species